GUAAUAGCUCACUGGUCGAGUCGGCCUGCGCGGAAGAUGUAACGGGGCUAAACCAUGCACCGAAGCUGCGGCAGCGACGCUUAUGCGUUGUUGGGUAGGGGAGCGUUCUGUAAGCCGUUGAAGGUGUGCUGUGAGGCAUGCUGGAGGUAUCAGAAGUGCGAAUGCUGACAUAAGUAACGAUAAAGCGGGUGAAAAGCCCGCUCGCCGGAAGACCAAGGGUUCCUGUCCAACGUUAAUCGGGGCAGGGUGAGUCGACCCCUAAGGCGAGGCCGAAAGGCGUAGUCGAUGGGAAACAGGUUAAUAUUCCUGUACUUGGUGUUACUGCGAAGGGGGGACGGAGAAGGCUAUGUUAGCCGGGCGACGGUUGUCCCGGUUUAAGCAUGUAGGCGGAGGUUCCAGGUAAAUCCGGUACCUUUUAACGCUGAGGUGUGAUGACGAGGCACUACGGUGCUGAAGUAACAAAUGCCCUGCUUCCAGGAAAAGCCUCUAAGCAUCAGGUAACAUCAAAUCGUACCCCAAACCGACACAGGUGGUCAGGUAGAGAAUACCAAGGCGCUUGAGAGAACUCGGGUGAAGGAACUAGGCAAAAUGGUGCCGUAACUUCGGGAGAAGGCACGCUGGUGUGUAGGUGAAGUCCCUGCGGAUGGAGCUGAAACCAGUCGAAGAUACCAGCUGGCUGCAACUGUUUAUUAAAAACACAGCACUGUGCAAACACGAAAGUGGACGUAUACGGUGUGACGCCUGCCCGGUGCCGGAAGGUUAAUUGAUGGGGUUAGCGGCAACGCGAAGCUCUUGAUCGAAGCCCCGGUAAACGGCGGCCGUAACUAUNNNNNNNNNNNNNNNNNNNNNNNNCUUGUCGGGUAAGUUCCGACCUGCACGAAUGGCGUAAUGAUGGCCAGGCUGUCUCCACCCGAGACUCAGUGAAAUUGAACUCGCUGUGAAGAUGCAGUGUACCCGCGGCAAGACGGAAAGACCCCGUGAACCUUUACUAUAGCUUGACACUGAACACUGGUCCUUGAUGUGUAGGAUAGGUGGGAGGCUUUGAAGCGUGGACGCCAGUCUGCGUGGAGCCAACCUUGAAAUACCACCCUUUAAUGGCUGGUGUUCUAACGUAGACCCGUGAUCCGGGUUGCGGACAGUGUCUGGUGGGUAGUUUGACUGGGGCGGUCUCCUCCUAAAGAGUAACGGAGGAGCACGAAGGUUAGCUAAUCCUGGUCGGACAUCAGGAGGUUAGUGCAAUGGCAUAAGCUAGCUUGACUGCGAGAGUGACGGCUCGAGCAGGUGCGAAAGCAGGUCAUAGUGAUCCGGUGGUUCUGAAUGGAAGGGCCAUCGCUCAACGGAUAAAAGGUACUCCGGGGAUAACAGGCUGAUACCGCCCAAGAGUUCAUAUCGACGGCGGUGUUUGGCACCUCGAUGUCGGC
rnacentral:rRNA from 2 species